UACCUCAAAAAACCACAACAGUCUGUUUCAUCCGUAUAGGAAUCAUCUGGUGGUGAUGAUGAUUCCUAUACGGAUGAAACAGACUGUUGUGGUUUUU